AAGAAAAAUUAUUUGGGCCUAGGACCAAACCUAACCCAAGCUACAACACGGGAAGAUUCAUCCAGCUGAAGUAACGAAUGUGCUCACGUGACGAAGUCAGUGUUACGCUUCAAUACUCUGCGCCACGUUUUUUCAUCUUCUUCGCAAUCCUGGAUCCAAGCUAUGAAACUUUAAUAUAGAAGAACAUGCUCCUGAGUCCGUCACAUUGUUGAAGAUUGCAACGAAUAUGUGACUCCAGAUUGAAGCUCGAAUCUCCAAUUGCGAACACGCUGUGAAGAAUUCGCGCCAUCACCUACUCAAAACAAAACGCAAGUAGGAGCUAAAUUCAAUAAGGUUAAAGCAUACUGAAGCAGUGUUCCAGCAUGGUGGCUCCUUCGUGACAUACAAGAGUGUUGUGAGAAGAUGGAUUUGCGGAGGAUUUCGCGGAUUGGAGAGGGAAUAGUGAACUUGAAGAGUGAGGGUUGAAGGUUCUCUUUUGAUCUACAGUAAGGAACGCUUAUAUAGAACUUGGAAUUGGUUAGAAAUUAAGAUGAAACUCACAUGAAAUGCAAUGUUAGUUAGAAAUGAAAAAUUAUGUCAUCAAAUUAGUUUUCUAAUUCAUAUUCAAUUAGGAGUGAAUUUAUCUUGCAUUUCAACUUAAUGUCAUUUGCAUUUUUUGCUUACAGUGAGAAUUAGUUGGUUAGUCUGUUGGGUGAAUUAGAAGUUAGUUGGAUGAUGAUAGUGAAUGAAAUGGCAGUCCCCUGAUUAUACAGAAAUGCAGUUAUUUGAAAUGUCGAGAAGGGCCAUAGUUCUGAAACUUGUUAACUAUGAUGAAUGUAGUAGUUGUUGCUCAAUUUCUAUUAGCACCUAUUUGAUAUGCAAUUUAAAAACUUGUUAGUCUGGUUAAAAAAUAAUGAUGGGAUCUGAAUUCUUAACUAAUUAUGAUGAUGAUUGGAUGAUAUGUUAAUUAGUAAUGAUUUAGCUUUUCUGUUAAUUGGUUUAAAUUAUACCUUGCAUUGCCUUGCUACUGCUAUGUUAAAAAGAAUGAACAUGUUAUCCGGAUUUUCAGCUAUUAGGAGGUUUUGUUAUAUUGUAUUAGGCUAAAAAACUAGUUAGAAUACAUUGUUGUGAAUGUUAAAGGAGUGGAUGAAUGUUAACAGGGCUCCUAUGUGAAGCUUUGAUACCAGAUUGUUUAUGUCAAUUGGAUCACAUGCUCUGAACUGCUAUGUGAAGUUGUAUGGCUAUGAAACCUAGACGGCCAUGGUGUAUGUUAUUAUAAUGAAAUGUGAUUGAUGUUAGGCUAAAUAGAAUUAUAUUAGGAUAAGUUGUUAUGAAUGUUAGAAUGCACAUGCUUGAACUUAAAUGAAGUUUGCUAUUUGCUAGGUUGUUAGAGAUGCUUGCAAUCUUAGUAUGCACUGUUAGUAAAAAUUUGAGGUAUUGAAUGUUGGUGUAAUCCCUAAAGGCCAAUACUUUUGGUACUUGUAUUGAAUUAUUUAUUAAUAAUAAAAGACUCUUUCUUUA